CCACAGCAAUAAUACUCACAGUAAUGUGUCUGAGUGAAUAACAGAGCUCCACAGCAAUAAUACUCCCAGUAAUGUGUCUGAGUGUAUAACAGAGCCCCACAGCAAUAAUACUCCCAGUAAUGUGUCUGAGUGUAUAACAGGGCCCCACAGCAAUAAUACUCCCAGUAAUGUGUCUGAGUGUAUAACAGAGCCCCACAGCAAUAAUACUCCCAGUAAUGUGUCUGAGUGUAUAACAGAGCUCCACAGCAAUAAUACUCCCAGUAAUGUGUCUGAGUGUAUAACAGAGCU